AUGAUACUCCCUCCGUCCGGAAAUACUUGUCAUCAAAAUGAAUAAAAGGGGAUGUAUCUAGAUGUAUUUUAGUUCUAGAUACAUCCCUUUUUGUCCAUUUUGAUGACAAGUAUUUUCGGACGGAGAGAGUACAUG
rnacentral:pre_miRNA from 1 species